rnacentral:siRNA from 1 species
UUAUUGUGAAGCCUAUCAUUGU